UACGUAGGUGGCAAGCGUUAUCCGGAAUUAUUGGGCGUAAAGCGCGCGCAGGGCGGUUUCUUAAGUCUGAUGUGAAAGCCCACGGCUCAACCGUGGAGGGUCAUUGGAAACUGGGGAACUUGAGUGCAGAAGAGAAAAGCGGAAUUCCACGUGUAGCGGUGAAAUGCGUAGAGAUGUGGAGGAACACCAGUGGCGAAGGCGGCUUUUUGGUCUGUAACUGACGCUGAGGCGCGAAAGCGUGGGGAGCAAACAGG
rnacentral:rRNA from 1 species